CUACUACCCCCUCAGUCCGGAAAUACUUAUCCUAGAAAUGAAUAAAAUGGAUGUAUCUAUAACUAAAAUAAGUCUAGAUACAUCCAUUUCUAGGACAAGUAUUUCUGGACGGAGGGAGUAGUAU
rfam:Hordeum vulgare subsp. vulgare, WGS project CAJW01000000 data, contig: morex_contig_84941